UCCUUCCUCCGUGGGAGGGGGGCAAAAAAUAUGGCUGCUGCGUAGACGACUGAGGUGCGUGUGGUCGAACAGUUAGUGCUGUUUCGUUUCUCGUUUAAUUUAUUUCCCGAAUAUUCGUUUCAACCGUUAGCUCACGGUAACCAACAUGAACGCCUCAAAGUCAAGUAGGAACUCGUGAACUCUGAGUGGUGUGGAGCUAAAGCUUGCAUUUAAAAACAAAACUCACAAAAGUACCAACCUUCUGCUCCACCGCCAGUUUGCAUUACCGUAAAAUUCCGAUUCGAAGGGUAAAAGAAAGUCUUCCCCACAUGCGAGCGACGCUGAAAAGG